rnacentral:rRNA from 1 species
GGGGACAAAGUGACAGGUGGUGCAUGGUUGUCGUCAGCUCGUGUCGUGAGAUGUUGGGUUAAGUCCCGCAACGAGCGCAACCCUUAAGCUUAGUUGCCAGCAUUAAGUUGGGCACUCUAAGUUGACUGCCGGUGACAAACCGGAGGAAGGUGGGGAUGACGUCAAAUCAUCAUGCCCCUUAUGAUUUGGGCUACACACGUGCUACAAUGGACAAUACAAAGGGCAGCUAAACCGUGAGGUCAUGCAAAUCCCAUAAAGUUGCUCUCAGUUCGGAUUGUGGUCUGCAACUCGACUACAUGAAGCUGGAAUCGCUAGUAAUCGUAGAUCAGCACGCUACGGUGAAUACGUUCCCGGGUCUUGUACACACCGCCCGUCACACCACGAGAGUCUGUAACACCCGAAGCCGGUGGAGUAACCAUUUAUGGAGCUAGCCGUCGAAGGUGGGACAAAUGAUUGGGGUGAAGUCGUAACAAGGUAGCCGUAUCGGAAGGUGCGGCUGGAUCACCUC